rnacentral:rRNA from 1 species
GACAGAGGGUGCAAACGUUGUUCGGAAUUACUGGGCGUAAAGCGUGUGUAGGCGGCCAUAUAAGUCGGAUGUGAAAGCCCUGGGCUCAACCCAGGAAGUGCACUCGAUACUGUAUGGCUUGAGUAUCGGAGAGGUUGGUGGAAUUCUCGGUGUAGAGGUGAAAUUCGUAGAUAUCGAGAGGAACACCGGUGGCGAAGGCGGCCAACUGGACGAAUACUGACGCUGAGGCGCGACAGCGUGGGGAGCAAACAGG